GACGUAGGGCGCGAGCGUUGUCCGGAUUUAUUGGGCGUAAAGAGCUCGUAGGCGGCUUGUCGCGUCGAAUGUGAAAUCUCAGGGCUCAACCCUGACAUUGCAUUCGAUACGGGCAGGCUAGAGUUCGGUAGGGGAGACUGGAAUUCCUGGUGUAGCGGUGAAAUGCGCAGAUAUCAGGAGGAACACCGGUGGCGAAGGCGGGUCUCUGGGCCGAUACUGACGCUGAGGAGCGAAAGCGUGGGGAGCGAACAGG
rnacentral:rRNA from 1 species